AGUGAACGCUGGCGAUAGGCCUAACACAUGCAAGUCGAACGGCAGCACAGUAAGAGCUUGCUCUUACGGGUGGCGAGUGGCGGACGGGUGAGGAAUACAUCGGAAUCUACUUUUUCGUGGGUGAUAACGUAGGGAAACUUACGCUAAUACCGCAUACUACCUACGGGUGAAAGCAGGGGAUCUUCGGACCUUGCGCGAUUGAAUGAGCUGAUUUCGGAUUAGCUAGUUGGCGGGGUAAAGGCCCACCAAGGCGACGAUCCGUAGCUGGUCUGAGAGGAUGAACAGCCACACUGGAACUGAGACACGGUCCAGACUCCUACGGGAGGCAGCAGUGGGGAAUCUUGGACAAUGGGCGAAAGCCUGAUACAGCCAUACCGCGUGGGUGAAGAAGGACUUAGGGUUGUAAAGCCCUUUUGUUGGGAAAGAAAAGAAGCAGGUUAAUCCCCCGCUGUUCUGACGGUACCCAAAGAAUAAGCACCGGCUAACUUCGUG
rnacentral:rRNA from 1 species